UACGUAGGGUGCGAGCGUUGUCCGGAAUUCUUGGGCGUAAAGGGCUCGUAGGCGGUCUGUUGCGUCAGGAGUGAAAACUCGGGGCUUAACCCCGAGCCUGCUUCUGAUACGGGCAGACUAGAGGUAUGCAGGGGAGAACGGAAUUCCUGGUGUAGCGGUGAAAUGCGCAGAUAUCAGGAGGAACACCGAUGGCGAAGGCAGGUCUCUGGGCCGAUACUGACGCUGAGGAGCGAAAGCGUGGGGAGCGAACAGG
rnacentral:rRNA from 1 species